rnacentral:lncRNA from 1 species
CCGACAAUAGACUUUUCACAAAUAUGCUGUGGUCGUGCUUAAAUUCAAGAUAUUUGGAUUCUAUGCUAUAAUGUUGAGACACCUUUAAGUCAACAAACCAAAUUACCUUAGCAAUAUGGAAUAAAAAUAGAGUCAUCGCACCUUGUCUAAAAGUUCAGUCCGAGGCCAAAUUCGCAGUCUCAAAAGGCUUUCUAGAUUAUAUCAGUUGGAUAAAGUUGAUAAAUGCCAUAUAUUGGUUUUCAGGACAUCUGUUGAUAAUGAAGAUGACCAUUUUGGUUUGCUGGAAGAAGGACAAGGAUGAUUGCUUUUCAAUAUUAUAUACUUAAUGAGAAGAAUUAUGAAUCUAAUCACUUAAUCAUGGAUUGGAGUGUGAAUUAUGUAAAGAUGACUUUUUUAGGCACAAUGUAUGAUCGAUAGUAUCUCUUUUAAAUACUAUAUAGAAAAUUAAAAUCAUACAUAAAAUAAUAAAAUACGAACACAUUCCUUUAGUCGAACCAGCUAUUUAAAAGAUUUGACAGUAGAAACGUGAAAGAUUUUAUGGACAAAACAAUCAAAGCAACUGUAACUAAUUUAAUUGUGCUUGAUAAAUAGAAGAAAAGGGAAAAUGUAACAAAUAUAUGAUUAUGUAAAAAAGACUGCAUCCAUAAGAAACUCAAUGCACUACAAAACAACUUUCUGUUACAAACUAAUCCACAUUCCGCUCGAUGUUCAAGCUCUUCUAUUUCUGUAAUUACGCACAUCAUAAAGUUCAAUAAGUGGAAUAAACAAAAUUCAUUGCAAACGCCAGACAAAUCAC